UAAGGAAUAUUGCUCAAUGGGAGAAAUCCUGAAGCAGCAACGCCGCGUGGAGGAUGAAGGGUCUAUGACUUGUAAACUCCUGUAAAGAAGGAAAAAAUUCCCAUUUGAUGGGAGAUGAUGGUACUUCUGGAGUAAGCCCCGGCUAACUACGUGCCAGCAGCCGCGGUAAUACGUAGGUGGCAAGCGUUGUCCGGAUUUACUGGGCGUAAAGGGAGCGUAGGCGGACUUUUAAGUGAGAUGUGAAAUACCCGGGCUCAACCUGGGUGCUGCAUUUCAAACUGGAAGUCUAGAGUGCAGGAGAGGAGAGUGGAAUUCCUAGUGUAGCGGUGAAAUGCGUAGAGAUUAGGAAGAACACCUGUGCCGAAGGCGACUCUCUGGACUGUAACUGACGCUGAGGCUCGAAAGCGUGGGGAGCAAACA
rnacentral:rRNA from 1 species